CUAAAAUGAAUAGCGAAUAGAAGCAAUAGUAGGAGCACACUGGGCGCAGUUUCGUUUUUUUUUUUUUUUUUUUUUUUU
rnacentral:ribozyme from 11 species